UGCGCAGGCGGUUCGUUGUGUCUGAUGUGAAAGCCCCGGGCUCAACCUGGGAAUGGCAUUGGAAACUGGCGAGCUGGAGUGCGGCAGAGGGGGGUGGAAUUCCGCGUGUAGCAGUGAAAUGCGUAGAGAUGCGGAGGAACACCGAUGGCGAAGGCAGCCCCCUGGGCCGACACUGACGCUCAGGCACGAAAGCGUGGGGAGCAAACAGGAUUAGAUACCCUGGUAGUCC
rnacentral:rRNA from 1 species